GGCGACGUACCCAAGCGGCUAAGGGAGCGGUCUGCAAAACCGCCAUGCGCCGGUUCGAAUCCGGCCGUCGCCU
rnacentral:tRNA from 1 species